rnacentral:misc_RNA from 1 species
UACAGAGAGUGCAAGCGUUAAUCGGAAUUACUGGGCGUAAAGCGCACGUAGGUGGAUGCUUAAGUCGAUUGUGAAAGCCCUGGGCUUAACCUAGGAAUUGCAUUCGAUACUGGGUGUCUAGAGUAUAGUAGAGGGAAGUGGAAUUUCAGGUGUAGCGGUGAAAUGCGUAGAUAUCUGAAGGAACACCAGUGGCGAAAGCGACUUCCUGGACUAAUACUGACACUGAGGUGCGAAAGCGUGGGGAGCAAACAGG